UGAGUUUUCUUUAUCUUGGCCCAGCACUGAAAAGCUCCCACUCAGAUUGUAUGAGUGAAAAUUGCUUGAAGGCCUGAGGUGUGAUGUUGCUAUCUUUUGACACUGAACUGAGACCCACAUCCUCACAGAACACUCUCCUGAUGACUUCAGACUCCCUUGGGUUCCUUUUGAACCCUUUCAGAGUAGAAAUGAUGGACACCAUGGGUUGAAUCCAUAUCCUGGGUGGAUGUGCUAAGGCUAUGCUGCUGGAAGAUGAGAGACAUGGAACAGACUGAGUCUUUUUAGUCAUCCCUGAC